AAAACACUAGUAAAAUAUAAAUUACAUUGCCGUGUCGGGGCUAUAUUGUGGGUUAAAUCCCCACGUGUUUUA
rnacentral:tRNA from 1 species